UACGGAGGGUGCAAGCGUUGUUCGGAUUUACUGGGCGUAAAGGGCGCGCAGGCGGCUCAUUUUGUCAGGCGUGAAAGCCCCGGGCUUAACCUGGGAACUGCGUUUGAUACGGAUGGGCUAGAGUUCGGGAGAGGAGAGUGGAAUUCCCAGUGUAGAGGUGAAAUUCGUAGAUAUUGGGAAGAACACCGGUGGCGAAGGCGGCUCUCUGGACCGAGACUGACGCUGAGGCGCGAAAGCGUGGGGAGCAAACAGG
rnacentral:rRNA from 1 species